GACGAACGCUGGCGGCGUGCUUAACACAUGCAAGUCGAACGGAAAGGCCCUGCUUGCAGGGUGCUCGAGUGGCGAACGGGUGAGUAACACGUGGGUGAUCUGCCCCUUACUUUGGGAUAAGCCUGGGAAACUGGGUCUAAUACUGGAUAGGACCAUGCUGUAGGUGGUGUGGUGGAAAGAUUAGUUUCGGUAGGGGGUGAGCUCGCGGCCUAUCGGCUUGUUGGUGGGGUAAUGGCCUACCAAGGCGUCGACGGGUAGCCGGCCUGAGAGGGUGGACGGCAGCAUGGGGAGGGAGAUACGGCCCAGACUCCUACGGGAGGCAGCAGUGGGGAAUAUUGCACAAUGGGGGGAAGCCUGAUGCAGCGACGGAGCGUGGGGGAUGACGGCCUUCGGGUUGUAAACUCCUUUCAGCCAUGACGAAGCCCUUGUGGUGACGGUAGUGGUAGAAGAAGCACCGGCUAACUACGUG
rnacentral:rRNA from 1 species